rnacentral:tRNA from 1 species
CGCUGGUGCGCGAGGCGCCGGCGGGCGCCGCCUCCGGUGCGGCCGCCGCACGGCCCGCCGGUUCCGCCACCGCCGCCAACGCC